CUACCUGCUGGGAGGAAGGCCUGGGGGUAGCCUUUGUUUGGCUCAGAGUCAGGGGGAAGCCCACUGCCAUUUGGUCUUUUAAAACCUCAGCAAUCCCAGCUUUGUUCAUUCUUUUUGUUCGGGCUGCCUUUCUGGGGUAUCAGGUGGCUGAGAGGAGCAGAUUGUGACUAGGUCCAAGUUGUAAGUUCUCAAGAUUGUUCCUCCCCUUCUGGUAGGCUUGGGAAAUGCUCACGGUUUUAUCGAGGCCCCACAGAAGUGCACCGUGGCUGGCCCUAGGGCAUGCAGCACUGCCCACGGCAGCCAAAGUGAUCAGUGUGGGGAUCAGCCCAAACCGGACUUUCACCCAGGCCCUCCUUGCCCCUGGACUGGAGUGUUGCCAUCCCUGUUCCCAUUCGGAAGGACUGCUUCACCCUUAGUGCUGGUGGUGGGACUGAUGGAAGUCUGUCCCUCUCCUGGGUGUUGGUCCCUGCUCCUCU